rnacentral:rRNA from 1 species
CUGCGAAUGGCUCAUUAAAUCAGUUAUCGUUUAUUUGAUAGUACCCUACUACAUGGAUACCUGUGGUAAUUCUAGAGCUAAUACAUGCGCAAAACCCCGACUUCGGAAGGGGUGUAUUUAUUAGAUAAAAAACCAAUGCCCUUCGGGGCUCCUUGGUGAUUCAUAAUAACUUCACGAAUCGCAUGGCCUUGCGCCGGCGAUGGUUCAUUCAAAUUUCUGCCCUAUCAACUUUCGAUGGUAGGAUAGUGGCCUACCAUGGUGGCAACGGGUAACGGGGAAUUAGGGUUCGAUUCCGGAGAGGGAGCCUGAGAAACGGCUACCACAUCCAAGGAAGGCAGCAGGCGCGCAAAUUACCCAAUCCCGAUACGGGGAGGUAGUGACAAUAAAUACUGAUACAGGGCUCUUUUGGGUCUUGUAAUUGGAAUGAGAACAAUCUAAAUCCCUUAACGAGGAACAAUUGGAGGGCAAGUCUGGUGCCAGCAGCCGCGGUAAUUCCAGCUCCAAUAGCGUAUAUUAAAGUUGUUGCAGUUAAAAAGCUCGUAGUUGAACCUUGGGCCCGUCCUGCCGGUCCGCCUCACCGCGAGUACUGGUCCGGAUGGGCCUUUCUUUCUGGGGAAUCCCAUGGCCUUCACUGGCUGUGGCGGGGAACCAGGACUUUUACUGUGAAAAAAUUAGAGUGUUCAAAGCAGGCCUUUGCUCGGAUACAUUAGCAUGGAAUAAUAGAAUAGGACGUGCGGUUCUAUUUUGUUGGUUUCUAGGACCGCCGUAAUGAUUAAUAGGGAUAGUCGGGGGCGUCAGUAUUCAGCUGUCAGAGGUGAAAUUCUUGGAUUUGCUGAAGACUAACUACUGCGAAAGCAUUCGCCAAGGAUGUUUUCAUUAAUCAGGGAACGAAAGUUAGGGGAUCGAAGACGAUCAGAUACCGUCGUAGUCUUAACCAUAAACUAUGCCGACUAGGGAUCGGGCGGGGUUUCUAUGAUGACCCGCUCGGCACCUUACGAGAAAUCAAAGUUUUUGGG